CCAUUGACCAACCCGCUAUAUCCUAACUACAGGGUCACGGGGGUCUGCUGGAGCCAAUCCCAGCCAACACAGGGCACAAGGCAGGAAACAAACCCCGGGCAGGGCUCCAGCCCACCGCAUAAAAUGUAAUAAUUUGAAAGUAAAUUAUGUUUUAUGUUACGUUAGA